GGUGGCAGUCUUCAUCCACUAUUAAAGGCAAGAAGAUAUUUCCCUUGUUCAUCCUUCCUCCUUUCCCCAAUCUCCUUUUGAUUAACGGAAUAUCAAAACUACACACACACAAACACACACAUUACAGGAACUUUAUGGACAAAAGGAAAAUUCAUAUUCUGGAAAACAUACGCAAAAGCAUCGUCUGUUUUUACAUAUUUAAGCUUGUAGCUUGAUACGGAAUGCAUUUAUCAUACUUUUGAUUUACAUCAAUAAAAAUUAUACGAUAUGUAGUCUAUCCUAUAUGUAUACUAUUCGAUAUGUUUAGGAAAUUAUGUGUUUUUUGGUAGUUUCUAUAUGUGGUCUGUGCUAUAUGUAUAAAUAUAUUAUGAUUUUAAUUAUGGUGAUGCCUGUAUCCAAAAAAAAAAAUGCAUCAACAUAUGUCAUGCUUUGUUUCCAAAAAAAUACAUCAACAUUCGCGAACAAAACAACCUACAUAAAACUUUUUCAAACCUGUAUGAUGUGAACUUAUGAUUUAACUGUGUUGUUUCAAAAAUUUGUGUUCUGACAGUGAGAUUAUGUAAUUUGAUCAAUUCAGUUGACCUUACCAAAAAAGUGAACAUCAAAUAAAACAUAUUUAAUAAAUUAUGGUGAUAAAUGACAGUGAGAUUAUGCUUUUAUCCCGAACAUAUUUGAUCAUUGUGUGUGUAUUUAAUAGAUCUGGACAUUUUACAUUUUUAGGUACGGGCUCAAAUAAAACAGAUUUUCCACUGUAUGGGGUGAGUCUUAUAUUUUUCAUGUGGAAGCCUGAUGUCUAUUGCGGUAAUCAAUUAUUUCGACCUUUGAGAUUGACAUUUUGUAAUGGUUAUCUAAUGCUGCAGGUUUGAGGAGAUGCCCACAAAUAAUUAUGUUGAAAGCAGGUAAUGGUUGUUUUGUUUCCGUAUUUAUACCUUUCUAGUGUUAGUGUGUGUGUCAGUGUGUGUGUGUGUGUGUGUGUGUGUUUCUUUUUUUGGUCUACUAUAGUGGUAAUGAGGUUUGAACCUUUGAUUUCAUAUAAACCAUCCAAACCCCUCACCACUAGUCCAAUCCUAGUGGCUUUCCUAAUCUAUGAUGUGCACACAAAAUGUAUAAAGAACAAUAAAUUUAAUAUAAUGUAUUAGAUGUAAAGAAUAAUAAUGGAAGAAAAAAAAGACUUUCAAAGUUCCAACAUAAAACUUUGUAACCCUCCUCCUGACCACGGUAAAUAUAUCAAACUCGGCACUUUUUAAGGAGGCCUUCAAGCAAGCAGUUGAAAAAUAAAAUGUUUGGAAGUUAUUACAGCCUGACCUUUAAUAUAUCCUUAGUAUAACUGAUAGUCAAAUAAAUCCCAAACUUUUGGAUAGGCUUGGUAGUUGCAGGCUUGCAGCCCUUAAUUAUAAAAGCCGAAUCCAAAAUCUUGGUGCACUGAAUUGGUAUACUACAAUCUGUGUUUCAGCGGGUAUAGGAUGAGGUUAUGGAAUAAUUAUGGAAUUUCCAAAAUCUUUGAUUUGAAUGAUGGCAAAGUGACAAUGAAGCAAUUUUUAUAUUUUUGAUUGAGAACGCCCGUGUUCUUCGAAAGGUUCCUUCAGUAGUGACUGUUAUAUAUGCAUCAGAAGAACACCGUGUUUUAUAGUAACUCUUAUAUGAAUUACAUGAAUCAUACUGUUAAUCUCCAUGAUUCAUUGCUUCUUGCUUGUUUAUGUUAAUUUGGGGCUGGAUUUUAUCUUAAAAAAUAUUGAAAUUUAACAGAUUACAUACUUUGUGUGUAGUAUGGUAUAGUGUGUAGCAGCACAUGUCUGUUCUGAUUGUAAACUUUACAUCUUAAUGUUUUAAAUGGCAGUUUCUGGAACUUUGAUUCCUUGUUCCAGCCCCAACAACAUCCUGCUCGUGAUUCACAUGACACAUUCUUUUUGGAAGGUUAGUAAAUCAUUGAUUCUUCAAUGCUACUUGAAUCCUCUUUGCUCCCAUCCUGAGUACAUGUCACACAUAUGCAGCUCCUUCAACAACAAAGAAAUUGCCUGAAGAUUAUGUUCAGCGGGUGAAGCAAAUUCAUGAAUCUGGUGGAUAUGAGUCUAGGGGGUAUGAGCUUGAGCACCCUCAAUACAUUUUCUAACGAGGCUAUUUAUUGAUAAUUCAUAGACAGAUAAGUUUCAAAUUGCUUUCUGAGAGUAACCUUACAAUUUAUUCCUUGGUAGAUAUGCAUAUGACUGGAAAAGAGAGGAAGCAAAUAAAAACCUUCUGCGGACCCACACAACUGCUGUUUCUUCCCGGAUGCUUUACCAGCUGGCACAGGUUUGUAUGUUCUGAAUUUGUUGUAUCAUGUUUUUGUGAAUGUGUUUGAUUGUGUUGUGUUUGGGGCCGUUGAGCAUCCUAUUAUCUUCAUUUUUCUUUCAGAUUUUAGACUGAAAUUUUUAAGUUAUAUGUUUAUAAUUUUAAGAGUAAUGCUAGCAACACUCUCUUUUGAACACCCUCUCUAAUACUCACUCACUUAUUGGUUUAAAUCAUUAUGGGUCUACACUUUGAAUAUUGAACCCACACAAAAUGGUGGGUCAUACAUUGACUUCAUCCAAUAAAAGAGUGUUAGAGUGUUGAAAAGUGAGUGUUGCUAGCAUUCCUCUAAUUUUAAAGGUAGAUCAUAGCUAUUUUACAAAGUACUUCUGUAUUCUGGCUUUGCCUUUUCCCUGCAUCCACAGGGAUAAUAGAUUAUACUUUCUUAGUUAUUGCUCCUCAUUAAUGCUUGCAUCAUUUUUUCUGUGUGCCAUUAUAAUUUUGCAGAAACCAUUUUCUCCAAAAAAAUAUUUCUCUAUAGAUCGUGUAUUCCGAAAUGAAGCAGUGGACCGUACACAUCUUGCUGAGUUCCAUCAGAUAGAAGGUACGUGAGCUAUUAAGUUACUGGGCUCAGUGUUUUAUUUCUUAAAUCGUUCAUCUUUUUACAAACGAAAACAAUCCACCUUUGAUGGUCCAGUUAUGAUUUUUUUUUUCCACGUCAUAUUAUAGAGGAGGUGGGGGAUUACUCAAAUAUAUUUUUGCCGCGUCACUUUUUUGGUUCGAUGUACUGGGGGAUUAAUCUUAUAACUAAUUUUUUUGAUGCCCGUGAUUUUCCAUUUCAAUUCAGGCCUUGUAUGUGAUCGAGGACUCACUCUCUGUGACUUAAUAGGAGUUCUACAUGAUUUCUUCUCACGCUUAGGUAAUGAUGCUCUCUUGCAACAAAAAACUUUGUAUGAGUUAAAUGUUGAAUGUAGGUUAAAUGAUUAUUAAAGACAAGUUUUAGUAGUACAUUUAUUUUGUUACUAAUCUUUUGAUGAAAAUUUCUAUAUUGAGUUCAGGCAUGACCAAGCUGAAAUUCAAACCUGCUUACAAUCCAUACACAGAACCUAGCAUGGAGAUUUUCAGGUGAGACUCCCUGUAAUGAUUAUUUGGCUUGUCGUUAUCUUGAUAAUUGAUAUCCCAAGAGAUUACAUGUUAAUCACGUGCUCGUAUAACAGUUAUCAUGAAGGCUUCAAAAAAUGGGUAGAAGUAGGAAACUCUGGCAUGUUCAGACCUGAAAUGUUGCGGCCGAUGGGACUUCCUGAAGAUGUCCAAGUUAUUGCAUGGGGACUUUCUCUUGAAAGGUGAGAGCAAAACACCGAGAACGCCAUAUAAUCAUUGCCAACAGUAAAAUGAAUUAAUUUAUAAAAUUUAAAUUCUUAAAUAAUUUUCUAAACAAAUCUAGUGAAUGUAUUGGGGAACUACGAUACAACAUGUCGAUGUAUGUCACUGAGUUUAUGUUAACUUGUUAUUUUUCCUAAAAACAGGCCAACAAUGAUAAUGUAUGGGAUAGAUAACAUCAGAGAUCUCUUCGGCCACAAGGUAUUGCUAUGGGAUUUUUAGCUGAAUAGAUCACUGUUUAUUUGUUUUUUUGUCUUUUUAAGGGUGUAAAAUUGAUUGAUGGAUUCUCAUAGUAAUAUAGUAUCCUAAACCAUGUAUUUUCCAUGUUUUUUUGCAGGUGGAUCUUGGACUUAUCAAGAAAAAUUCAAUAUGUCGACUUGGAAUUGAAUGAAGUGGUCCAUUAUGUCUGAUAUAUUUGUUGUCGUUCAUACUUAUUUGUCUCUAAUAUCAAGCAAUACAUGCGGAUUAGUUCGAUUUCUGUUCGAUAAAUUUUGAUUGUGGUAAUAGCAUUUUUCAUUUGGUAGGGAAAUAUUGACAUGGGAAAGUUUCCCCUUUGCAAUUUCUGUUGGUUUGAACAAAUUAUGAUAGUGAAAAGUAACACAUUAUCAGCUGUGUUUUAACCUUUUACCUAUUGAACAAUCCCUUUAUAACAGUGGUGAUAGAAUUUUUUCUCCACGAACUGGUGCUUGGACUUGGUUCCAUAGUCGUUAUCUAUUCCCAUAAAAUAAGUAGACAAGCCUAACACGAUCCACAUAACGAGAAUAUAUCAUCUUUUUGUAUGAAACAAACGUGCAUCUUCUAUUUUCUAUACGCUGAUUGAUAUAAGAAGUUUUCUGUCGCAGCUCAUGGCAACAAAACCAGGCUGCAACUUUCUCCAACCUAUUGUGGAUGAUUUAGUUUGUUUCCCGCUACUUGAGUCCCCAUUUGUCAACUCUAAUAUAUGAACUAUGCUAGCCGCUUUUGCCAAAAUAGUGUUAUUUGAUUUCCUGUUGAGAGUUAAUAAAAGGAUUUCGGGCAAACCAUAAUUUAUCGAACAUUGUGCCAAAAAGAAGGUUCCAAUAUGACCCAUCAUUGCACCUGUUAUCACCGUCCAAACCGUUCAAAUUCAACAUGUUGAGAUGUGACUAAAAAAUGGAUUUUGAGAAAGUGAAGAAUCGUGACACGAUUUGGCAACCAUGUCACGAUUUUUUAGGCAGUGAACAUUGUUUUUAGGGUGUCCAAUCGUGACACGAUUUUGGGAAAACGUGACACGAUUUUCGGCUUGCUGAGCAAGUUUUCAGGAUAAGGUUGGUCAUACCUUGGGUCGUACGCACCAAACGUGUCACAAUUUGGGAAAUCGUGACACGAUUUUGUCCGGAUCUGAACACUAUGUAAGCACUCCAUGACCCAUUUGUUGGGUAAGCUUGGUGAAUCUCAUGGAAACCAAGGGAGGGAACUUUUAGGGUUUUAGAUACUAAAGGUUGAGGGCCUUUGGGUGAGGUUCAAAGCUUCAAGAUGUGAAUCUUGGAGAACCAAAAGAGGGGGCUCUUGUGAAAAGGGUUGGGGCCUUUUGGAGAAGAUUCAUGGGGUUGGGAAACACAUGAGUGGAGAGUCAUUUGUGAGCAACUUGGGUGAGUCUUGUGAAACCAAAAGAGAAGAUCCUUAGUGAAAUCAAAUGCUAAGGGUUGGUUCUCUUUUGGUGGUUAGAUUUUAGAGUUGGGAAACAAUUAGUGUCUUGUUCAUUGGUGAGAUUGGGAAAAUGGGUAGAAAUUAGGGUUGUUCUUUGUGAACUUGUUGAAGCUAAUUUCUUGUAACUCAUUUGUAUCUCUUUGUAAGAACUCAUUAAUAGUGGAUUGGAGAGAUCAAUCUCUCCCCCAGAUUAGGUCAAGUUUGACUGAACUGGGUCAACAAUUUCUUGGUGUUGUUAUCUUUUCUUUACUCUCUUUAUCUUGUUUAUUCCUUGCUUGGAUUGUGGUUUUGCUAUACACUUAAUUAUAGACUAGGUCUAUAUAUUGUUGUUGUUGCUUGUAGUUAACAUUUUUUAUUGUUGAUUGUCAUUGAUACUUGCUCCACGAAUCUAAAUUUCAUUGAUGUAAAGUUUGGAAUUGACCGAGUUCACAACAUAAUAAAAGCCACUUAAACCAAUUCGUCUCCUUGAAGAAAGAGCUUGAAUUGGAUGUUUUAAUUCUAGGGCAUAUGCUAUGUGGUAGCUUGCAAUCUAGCAGUGAUUCUUCCCAUUACUUCCUAGUAAGAAAUAUAAACUGAUGAGGUAUAAUCAUCUAUCAAAUACUUAGUGUGUUCAAACUCAAAUAUGUUUUUUGAUAGCCAUGUUAUUGAUACAAAGUUUCUAUCAGCUUUGUUGAUGAUUAAUCUUAGUGAUCACCUUUAAUAGGGUUUGCCCUAUAACAAACAUAUUUUUUAUCUUUAAGACUCAAACCAGAGACAUUAUUUAAGAGAUCCGAGUCAAGUUCCACUUAGACCAAUGUAAUAUUGGUAUAAAGUAUAAACUAGUCGAACCUUCUAAAGUUAUAAAUAAUGUGGCUUUCAAAAUAGAAUAUUGAGCAAAUUAUACUUACCUUCCAUGAGUUCGAUUAAAAUGUCACUUAUGCCCCCUCUAGUUUGCCGUAGACACUGACCUCGCCCCUAAUUAACAUGUGAAUAUGUCAUUAGGAAAAAAACCUAAACAAUCUCUACAGCCUUUUCUUUUCUCCAUCUCUAAUUUCUCCUCCUUUUUGUUUUAUUGAAGAGUAAUUUCUCCAUCAUUAAUCAAAUUUAGCUCUAAUUCUCAUCUUUUAUACUAUACUUUUCAUCCAAACUUUUGGUAAUGCAGUAACCCUUUUGAACCCUCUAUCAGGAUUUGUGCAAUUGGGAUUCCCCUUCAUAGAUCCUAGCCAUAAAAGUCUUUUUUUUUUUUUUUGUACCAAUGGAUAGUUUCAGAGCCGAAGAUCAUCACCAUGUAAAACGGAUUUGCCUUUAAUUUCAUUUUUAGCCAUGAAAGUCUCAAUUUCAUCUUUUAUUUUUGUCAAUUGGGACUCCCCUUCGUCUAGCCAUAAAAAUACUCUGAAUUGCUGCUUAUGCAAAUUUGUUUUUAACCAAUUUACUAUCUGAGAAACAUUUUCCAAAUUUUAUAUUGAUAUUAGUUUGUCAAGAGUUUCUUUCCUGGUCAUGUUUUCAUGUUUUGAGAUUUUUAUCUGUUGGUAGCAUGAAAUCGUGAAUUACGACCUCUUCUUUGUAUCUUUCAUUUUACAUGCUGCGUUUCAAUGUGCCGUGUUUCAAGGUAAGGUUAGAGAACAGUGCAUUUUGUUAAUUGAUGGCCGUGUUACAAACUAGAGGGGGUGUUUGUGUGUUUGAAGUAAAACUUUGGUGAGGUGAGUGUAAUUUGCCCCAAAAUAUAUUAAAUACAUUGGAAUAAUUCGUAACUGAUUAAAAAAACUUAAUAAGAGAUAGCCAUGUUAUUUAUGGAUUAAAAAUGAUUAAGAAUUAAACUAUCUAUAUAUCUUGCAAAUUAUCUUAGGUCAGCGUAGAUUUGUGAUGCCUUGAGAGUUGAGAAUGAUAUCUUGCACUUGUAGGAGCAGUCUUCCUCAAAUAAUUUCAUUACCACAGAACAUUGUUCCCCCAAAAGAAAGCAACAUGAUGAACUUUGCGUGCUUGAAGAGCUUGUAACAUAUUGCUGUUCACAGAAAUGCUGAUCAAGAUAUAUAAAUUUGAGUGUUGAUCUUUCAGGAGAUAGUUUGAAUUUUAUGCUCAGCCGGUAUAGAUGGCUCAAACAAGAAUGUUAACCGCGAUGAUAUGCCGGACAGAGAUUACUGAAUAGCCCAAGAGUCAAGUCUUCCACAAUUCCUAUCAGGGGAAAAAGUUGUAAAGAUCAUGAGAAAACACAAGCAAAAAGUGAAUUAAGUUCUGCUUAGAUACACCACUUAAUUGAACACUUAUUGCAUAAUUGCUUAUCAUAUAAGUGCUUUAACAAAUGAUAAAAUAAAUUCAAAUUAUUCUCGUAUAAACUGUAUGUUGUUUUCAUUAACAAUACUAAAGAGCAUAUGGACAUGACAUAAGUUGUUUCCACUUUCCAUAAGCUCUCACAAGUGAUUAUGCAAAUAAGCCAAUCCAACAAGCCCUUAAUAAAAGAGGUACUUUGACAAAAAUAAACACGAUAGCAAGUAGUACAACACUACAACUACAACAUGUACAUUUAAAGUGUGUUAUGAGCAGAUACCUUAAACCAUCUUAGACAGUGCAAGAAGUACACGGGUCAGGUCUCCGCAAUUCUAUUCAUUGGCACACUCCACAGUGGCAUGUUUCCAAGCACACUCUUUAGCAAUUGUAUCUUCACAAGUGACCCAGCGGAUGAUAAAUUGCAAGUUUCAUUUUUGUUUAAUAGGACAGAGGAUCUCCUUUUCCUCUACCGGAGUUGUUUCUGCUGCACUAAAUCAGCUGUUACAAAGUCAUUUAACACCCGCCUUAGAGAAGAACAGUUAUGAUUUCAUGACAAUUACUUGUCUGACCAAUGAAGUUAAUACAGUAAGAUUAAUAUGCUGUUUUACUUCUUGAAAAGUCAAUCACGUUCUGUUUUCCACAGAGCCAUCGGUUUUUCUUUUUACGUCUGGGCUGUAGAUUGGGGAUGCUUAGUAUCCUCUUUCAUGACAGUAGAUUGAAGUUUAUGGCGUUUUCUAAUCAUAUUCUUGACCAUGUUGUUAAAUUCUUCAUCUGUGCAAGCUAACAUGCAUUUUAGCUUGACAUUAAUCUGAUUCUCCACCAGAACCUUGUGUCUUGGAAUAAUUCGACCCUCGAGGGAAUAGCUGAAAAACCUGAUAACAGCAAGAGAAUUGCAUAUUUAAAGUUGAAUAUGCAUUGGAAUAAAAAAACAUUAAAAAUUAUGUUAUCUAUGGUCAAAAUAUCAUUGAUACCUCGGAAACUCAAUGGCAUCUUUCAAAGUUCGAACCAUGGUUUUGCGCAAAUAAGUAUACUUAGGACGAAGAACGUCUAUAUUGUAUCUGAGCAGCAUUGGGAAAUCAGCAAUCAUUUCACCCAGUUGCUGAAGACGUAUGCCGAGAGACAAAUAAUACUUUACAUUUCCUUCAAGCUUAUGUACUAUGCUGCAUCCCAAGAGCUCAGGUCCAAGAGCUAUAACCUUUGGAAUAUUUUCUUCAGUGACUCCAGCCUUGGUCAUCAAGAAUAUGACCUAUAUACAACAAGCAAACUCGGCAGAUUAGUUAAUUGAGGCCUCUUGAUCAGACAGUUUAUAAAAUGUGAUCAGAGUGAUAAACUUUGUGGUGAUGUUUCCGAAAAAUAACUUAAUGGUAACAAAUUUUGUAGCGGCAAAGAAAAAAGACAUACCACAGGCCUAAUCUUCUUGUAAAGGCUGUAAGUGAGUAGAGUGGGAAAUUUUACAAGCAUCUUGGCAAUCCCGUCAUUUCGAACCCCUAGGUCCUGAAAAAACUUUACCUUCAUGAUAAAAUAUGUAACAAAAUUGUCAGUAUUUUAUCAUCAGGAAACAUGACAGAAACCAUUGAAAAUUUUAUUUAUGAAUCUACUAGACAUCAACAUUAAACAAUGCAAGCGUCAACUUAGGAGAGAAACAAAUGAAAAAUUUACAUACCUUUGGCACAAUAGUCAUCUCCAAGUCAACACAAAAGACCAUUGGUUUAAUUGUAAGCAUUCUCCUCAUCCCAUCUCGGGUAAUCCCAUAAUAGUACAGAUAUUUAACAAGGGGUUUCCAUUGUUCUUCAAUGCUGCACGCCAUCAAUUGUGGCCGAAAUGCAAGCAGCUUACCAACAUCUUUACUUUCAAGCCCGAAUUCUUUCAAGUAAUCAACCUGAAAUUUACAAUUGUUGCAUCAUACUUUGUUUGUAUAUCAGAAACUAUCAAAGUAUGAGAGAAGACAACAAGGAUAUAUUACAAUAUGACGUUAACCCUAUAAAUUGUAAAAAUUAAUGUACCUUUCGGUUCAUUUCUUCCAAAGUAUAGUGACCGAGAGCUUUAGGAAAAUCAAAAACCAUGGUGCCAAAAUCCUUCGCAUCUAAACCCAUAUCCAGAUAGAACUGCACACGAGUUUUCACCUCUUCCAAGCUAUAAGAUAACAACUUCGGACACCGACUCACAACAUAACCCAUCCAUUCCCUCCUGACUCCAUUAAACUCUAAAUAAUCAACAAUCUCAUCCAACUCCCCGUCACUCCGCAGCAAAACAUUAUCUCCACUCUUUAACAUUGCAUCCCCAAUAAACUCUCCCUUAACGAGCACCGACUUCAACCACUCAACACGGUUCCUUAUAGACUCAAGCUUCCCUCUUGACAUCAAAAUGAGCUUAGCUAUCUGAGGAUACGAUAGAGAAUUAUGCUUCAACCAUCUAGAGAAUUGAAGAAAUCCACAAUCAAAAUACAAAAACUUCAAAAAACUAUCAACAAUACGCAAACAUGGGUUGCCUGCUAUCAAUAAUUUAACGUUGUCAGCACAUAUGUGAUCGUUGGAUCGAAAUCGAACGAUUCAUAUUUCAAGCUUGUACUGUUCAAUUAAAAACUAAAUUAAAGAAAGGUGCUAUGAAGUGUGAACACUUUCUCUAGCACUCACUCUCUUAUUCGGUGAAACUCGUGUGGGUCUCACGCUUUAGAAAUGAAACCCACAUAAAGUGAUGAGACCCACAUGACUUUCACUCAAUAAAAGAGUAAAUGAUAGAGUGAGAGAGUGUUCCUAGCAUUUCUCUAAAUCAAAAUAGGCAUUGAAAUUUGGACCGUCAGAUUUCAUUCCAACGACCAUAUAUGUACCGAAUGAGUGAUUGCGUCGAUUAUUGACUAUGGCAAUCCAUUUUCAACAAUACUCACAAAACAACAAUGGUUUUGUUUUACAUGAACAAUAAAUCAAACAGCUUACCAACAACUUCAAAACAAUAAAAACCUUUGUAGCACCGACAACUCUAAUCAAAGAUGUGUUCGGUGUCCGACACAAUACACACAUAUGGUUACAUUCAAAUAAUUCAUUUUCUCAAAUUACUACCGAUGUCAAUGUGUCAAUGGCGUGUCAAGUGUCCGUGUCAAUGCUUCAUAGAUAAAAACUAACAACUCACAACCAACACUAAUCUCAAUUCAUAACCAUAAUACCUGAUAAGUGGCACAACUUGAGAAUCUUCAAUAACAGUUUUAGCCCUUAAAUUAAAAGUCGAAUUUGAAUAUUCCGGCAAUCUUUUCAAAUUAGCAGCUUCAAUCAUAACAUAAUCAAUAAAAUCACCCAACCUAUCAACCAAAUUACCAGUAUAAGUAAUUCCAAAUUUACCCUUCCGCAUUGCUUCUUUAAAAACCUCUUCAGUAACCUUCCUACGAAUUUCAAUAGCUUGCAUAAUCAUUUCCUCUUCUUUUUCAUCACGCCGAAAAAGGGUACUCAGAGGAGGAAGAGAAGAACCCACAUCAGGGUCACUUGGAGAUUGAGCGUAAAUUGAACCUGGAAAUUGUGGGGUUCUUUUUCUUACUAAGGAAAGUUCUAAAAGUUUGAUUUUUUCUUCGUGGGGUGUUGGGUCUUGUAGUGAGGUUGGUGAAGGAUUAGUGUUGGUGUUUUUUUGUGUAAGGUGGUGAAUGAGAAAUGAUGUUGAUUUUGCAUUGUGUCUUCUGGGAAUUGGUUGGUUUUGGUGUUGUUCGUUUGGGUUUUGGCAGUUGACGAUAGUGGUGAGUUUUGGGUUUUUGGGGGUGUGGAUAGAAGAAUGAGGGAGGUAAAGAGUGUGUUUUUGAUAUGAAAGAAGCAUUUUUUGUGUUGUUGAUGGUGGGAAUUAACAAUGGAUAAGAGUUUAUGGUUGCACUAUUCGUUUUGUUCUGGUUAUGUUUGAAGAAGAUGAGGAAUUGAAUGUGGGGUAAGUGUUUAAGUAAUAUAAUACUGAAUUUAUAUUAACAAGUGAGGUCCCAUGGUCUAGCGGUUAGGACAUCAGACUCUGAAUCUGGUAACCCGAGUUCAAUUCUCGGUGGGACCUAAAAUAUUUUUUUCUUCAUUUUUUUGACAAUUCUUGUUGUAUCUCCAAAGUAAGCUGCAUUUUAGUUUUUGAUUUUUUUUUUUAUGGAAUAACUUUCAUUUUGGUGUAUAUGCAAAAGUCUAUCUUCCACCUAUUUCUUUAUUUCUUCAAAAAAAAAAAAAAAAUGUAAGGAUUAAUUCAUAAAUUGAGCUUUCUACCAACGAAGUUAGUUCAAGCGGAAUAGGUUACACUUCUCCAACAUUACGAACUGAUUUUUGAAUUUUAACGCAAAAAAUAUUUAUAUUUAAUAUCUAACACCUCGAAUAGAAUUAUUUUUACUCGAGAUAACAUAUAUAAAAAAAUUGAGCUUUUAAAGACUUGACUCUUAGUUAAAAAUAGACUUAUGUGUGUUGUGUUUUAUAUAUAUUUUUUAAAUAGUUGACCUUGUUGGGAACAUAUCAAGUGAGAAUGAUGCUUAUAUUUGAGAAUUAUAUGAUUGUUUUUUUGCCAUUGGAUUUAAAUUUAUGUUUGAGAUUAAUAGGUCUUAAAGUUAGUCGCAUACACUUUAUGUAUUCUCUUUCCGGUUACAUCUUUUCCUCUUACAUUAUCAAAACAACAUGGUUGCCGAAACCGCCGCUAUAUAUUCUCACCGCCAUAUCUAUCUCCAUUUCUAUCUAUCGCUCUCUCUCGUCGUUACAUAUGCCCUUACAUUAAUUAGUUUUUGUGCAACAGUAAGUUUAGCCAUUAGAAAAUUUAGUUUAAAUGAAACUUGGGUAAAGAAAAUGCACAUAAUCUAUUAUUGAAGACAUGGAUACACAAAGUUCAUACCUUUAAUUAUAAUUGUCCAUGGACGCAUAAAGAAUUCUACUGUAUUAAGGGAAUUUAAGUUCAUGUCAUAACUCUCAAAUGAUGGAGAAAUAGAUAAUCAAUUGCAGAGUCAUCCAUGAGAAAGAAUGGAUAAAAUGAAAUAAAUAAAAAAAGAGAAAGAAGGGAAAAUGGAAAGGAAGAGACAAAAUUUGGGAUAUGGAUCAGUUUGAAUUGGCGGUUGAGGAAGGGGGUGACAACGACCCCUUGGUUGUGGAAGGUUAAUAGGGUCGUCAGAACUGAUGGUGGAAUGUGAGAGGAAGAAGAAUUGCAUCGUUUAAACAUGCUUCUCGCAUGACCCGCUUAUUCAUCUUUUAAUCUCGAUUGAUCUUUUUAAUUUGAUGGCUACCUUUCAUUCUCACAUGAUAUGGCCCCUGACCUUGUGUUUGUUUAAAGCACAUUCGAGCUGGUCUGGUCUCGUAACCUUAAAAUCAAUGGUUCUUUAAUUGCAGGUUAACCUCUUCCUGACCUAAUGUUGGUUUGGUCAGCCCAUUAGACGUAUAAUUCGUAAGGAAUGGGAUUUCUUGAAGAAGGAUGAAUUGUUGAGCUACACGAUGAAGGUAAUAUUCAUCAAUGAAGGUUUUGUUGUUGCGCCAUUUAGACUUCAACUCAUAAAGCAUGUCAUGGAAAACUAGGAUGUUUAUCCAAUUUCCAUGAACGACAUAUGAUGUCAAAGAAGAAAGUAAAGGACGACGAUGUCUAAAGAAUCCAAGAUGGUGAUGCCAAUCUAAAAUUUUCACAUAUGCUAUAAAGCAUAUGAAUAAACGCCACAUAAGACGCGAUUAAAAAGGAUGGCUUUAUGGUUAAACUUUUUAUAGGAUAAGGUAUGGGAAAUACAACCAAACAUAUAGUUGUAGAAACCAUAUGCGGCCCACUCGCUUAUUGAAAGGAUUUAUUCCUUUGAUCUAGUUGUUCCAACAUAGAGAAGAAACAUCGGCAGAGCAAGGAAAUGAACAAAGAAUUCCAAGAGACAUUAUUUUCAGUAUUAAGGAGAGAAGCAAUAUAUAAUUGAAGUUCUUUAACGAUACAAAUUGAGCAUGUGCAAACAAAUAAGGAAGGGAUGCAAGCGACAAUUGUUGCUUAGUUACUUUUUUUUUAGUAAGGUUAUGAUAUUAGAGCAUUCUCACUUUAAAUCAACAUAUUUUUCGUUACUCAUUUUAUAUGUGCUUUGUGGUUUUAAAGAUAAUCGUGAUGGCGCCUCACGUUGAACUAUUUUUUGUGUUAUUGAAAUUUUAGGAGUUCCAAAUUGGUGUUGGUGAAGCAGCGGUGACAAAGACCCGGUUAUUUUUGUUUUUCUAAAAUCAAUUUAUUAAUUUUUUUUUACGAUCACACGUGUUUAAAAAACAUUGUAAGUAGAUUUUUGUCAAAAUCUGAUUGGGGAUGUUGUGAUUGAGCUUCAAAAUCAGCUCAACUUGCGUGCAUGAGUUUUCAAUUGCUAUUAUCAUUUCACAAGAAGAUAAUAGUGAGGUUUCAAAAUCAAACAAUCGUGAAACUUAAGAGUCAAGAGUGCAUUUAAGCCCUCAUAUACAAAAUUGUGGAUAAAUGAGUGUUUGUGUGUGUGUGUGAAUGAGAUACAUGAGAUUUAACAAUGUUGUCAUGAUCUUAUUCUUAAGAUCGAAUAAUAGAUCCUUUAUCAUAUAAUUUUUGUUUGACGGAUACCGCAUAGUUCUUAGCUUUAAAUAGUAAAAUAUACCUUGAGAGCUUGUUGAUGUAAGAUUUUUACAUUUCAUAAAACUAUUUACACGUAAGUAUGAUAGGAUCGUUUCCGCAAGGAGUUGCGUAUUUCAUAAGCAUUUUCACAAUAUUUGUCACAUUAAGUGUUUGGGUAUAAAUUGUUUGUUUGUGUAAAACUAUUUUCCUAUUCGACAUAAAAGUAAAACGAGAAGAGAUAGGGCUAUUUCGCUUGCGGUCAGAGACAUCAACCAAGCGUAACAACUGCAAUCUCUUGAUCGAUUAACGAAUUCUAGCUUUUUAAACGAUACUAUCACAAUCACUCGACAAUAUCAUUCGUGUCCAAAUUAUAUUGUUAUUUCUAAGGGAUUGUUUAAACAUUGAUUUCCCAAACGUUUAAACGAUCACAAAGUCGAUUGGAUCGUUUAAUCGACGAUUUCUCAACCGAUUAAAUGACCCAAAAGCAUUAAGUUAUAGAUUAAAAGUGAUUAUCAAAUAUUAACAUUCAUGUCUAGAGUGAUAACUUAAGGUAGAUUGUUAUUCUAUUUAUAGAUUCAAAAGUAUGUGUCCAUAUCAUUUCAAAUCUCAAUAAAACAUAAAAGCAAGAAUAACAACAAUAUUGAAUAAAUAGCUAGAACCAUAUAUUAAAUGAUCAAAAGAUUACAUAAUAGCUUGUUUGAAUACCUCAAAACCACAUGAGGUGAUAUAGCUAUAUAUGUCUAUGAUAGCUUUGCAAAGGAUAAAGAAGAAAUGAAGAUUCAAUGAUAAGAUCCAUGAUAUCUCAACAAAUAUUGGCUUGAAUCUACUCCUAACUACCUUGCUUUGUGUUUCUCUCUCUAGAAAAGUCAUAGUCUCUCUAAAAAUGUAAAUAAAACAAUAAAUGAAAUUGGUUGGAAAGAGAAGAGAAAACUAUUUAUAUGGGCCACUUCUGCGAAAUUUCGCUAAUAGCCAAAUAUUUCACGAUUACCGAAAUGUAUGAAAUCUGCCUCUGCACCAAUGGUGUUGUUCCACAUGUCCCUUAUCCUCUUGAUUUUCCUAAAGUUCGCUGAUGGCGAAAUUCUUCUGAUGCAAUUUCGCUAAUGGCGAAAUAUUCGCUAAUUACAAAAUUCGGACUUCUGCUUCUGAACUUCACUGAUGGUGAAACCUCUCUGAAACUUUGCCAAUAUUUCGCUAAUGGCAAAAUAUUCAUUUUUUUUCUACAAAAAGACUCAAAAAAUUCGAAUCGAAUAUUCAAUAAAAGAAAAUAAUAUAGCAUCGAAUAUAAAAAUUUAAAUCAAAUAAAUAAAAUAAAAAUAAAAACAUUCAUAUAAAACAGAGGAUAAAAUAGACUUUUUAUUAAAUUUGUCGGUAGUAGUCAAGUUGAACCAAAGUGAGAGUAUAGAUAAAUAUCUCUAGAAAAUAUCUGAAGAGAGAGAACAAAUAUCUUCUCUGGCCCAAUAACCCAUAAUGAAGUAGGGUAAAGCUAACUCUACACAACGGGCCUAAACCGUCAUAAGUUUAACCCUAGGUAGUAACCCUAGUUAACACGCUCCUCUCACUCUUCACCUAUAUAAACACCCCUUGAGUCCACUCUCAGAAAUAUCUCAAGCAAAUCCUUUGCCUCUAUAACCUCCCUCCCAAACCCUAAUUCAGUUUUCCCUUUGCUCUUUUCAAUGGCUGAUGUUGAAUACCGGUGCUUCGUCGGAGGUCUUGCAUGGGCCACCGACAACGAAGCUCUCGAGAAAGCCUUCUCUCAAUACGGCGAGAUCGUUGAUUCCAAGGUCCGUUUGUUGCUUGCAGGCUUCGGAUCGGAUCUGACACGAUUUUGAUUCGGAUUUCUAUGGAAACCUUUCUGAUCUGUGAUCUCCGAUCUGUUCUGUGUUACUUGUUACUCUGUUACUUGAUCUAUUUGUUACUGUUACUGUUACUGUAUGAUUUGAUUCUUUUAUUACUCACUCACACCAAUAGGUACGUUCAUCUUCUUCUUUGAACAAAAGUUGAAGAUCGAUCGGUUACUAUUCGGUUCUAGAUCUAUGGAUCUGUUUUUUUAUUUGAGAUUUAGGGUUUAGAUCUGAUUUUGUUUGUGUUUUGUGCAGAUCAUUAACGAUCGUGAAACUGGACGAUCAAGAGGUUUUGGAUUUGUGACAUUCGCUAACGAGAAAUCCAUGAACGAUGCCAUUGAAGCAAUGAACGGUCAGGAUUUGGACGGACGUAACAUCACUGUGAACCAAGCUCAGAGCCGUGGUAGCGGUGGAGGUGGAGGAGGAGGCCGUGGUGGCGGUGGUUAUGGAGGUGGUGGCGGUGGAUAUGGUGGAGAACGUCGUGGUUACGGUGGAGGUGGUGGAUACGGAGGAGGAGGUGGUGGUGGAUAUGGAGAACGCCGUGGUGGAGGCGGUGGCUACAGCAGAGGAGGUGGUGGUGGAGGAUAUGGUGGUGGUGGAUACAGCAGAGGUGGAGGUGAUGGUGGUUAUUAGGUUUUAGAUUUGUCGUUUAUGAUUAUUAUACUAGAUGUUGGGAUCUAGCUCUGAAAUUCUGUUUUUGUCACUGUUCUGUUAUGGCUUCGUUUUGAUGUGUCUUUUAUUGGUGUAUCUCUGAAUUUGAUUGUGUAUAACGAUCAAUUUAAAGAAGAAAAAAAAAACUGAGAUAUUAGUUGCACCAUAUUUUCUGUGUUUUAUUAUUCGUUUUUUUUUUUUUCUUCUCAUUUUUGCCUGCCGAAUAUUUAAAAAUAAUUUUAUCUAUAAUCAAAUCCAAUCUAUUAUGAAAAACACUUUCCCAAGAUAAUCGAUAAAUAUGAACAAUGAGUUGUGACCUAUAAUUAUAAUGAUCUUUUAAUUUUUUUAAUUUGGGUAAUGAAGUCAUCUGUUCAUUUUAAAAAGUUUAGAAAAAGAUGUGGUUUCAUGAUUUCCAAUUUUUUAGUUUUUUCCUCACCUGAUUACUUAGAUUUUGCGUUACACGAUUUGAUUUUUUGUUUAGACUAAACGGCCAUUCAUUGCAAUUGUACAUAUACAGCUUGUACUUAUACGAUUGAUAUUAGAACUUCCAAAUUCUGAUUUCUGCCACCAUAUAUUUAAAAUGGUUUAAUUGCACUUUUGAACUGUUGUGAUUUCAGACCUUAUCAUCCAUUAUCUGUCCGUCUUGUAGGCUUUUUAUUUAAUAUAUCUUGUCAAAGUAUUAAAAUUUUGUUAUGGGUACAAUGAAUUUUAAGAAAUUUUCAAUCUGAAACUGAUUUUAAUAUGAAGUUUUGUGACCAUGGAUACAAUAAUUAUGUUGGUAAGACAAUCAAAAUCCCUGCUAUGCUAACCUUUGUUAUGGUUGUUUCCAACAUUUUCAAUAUGAGAGGAAUAGGGUGAAAGAGGCAUAAUAGAUCCGUUUAAGAGGGAAAAAAAAUGCUUAAUAUAUGCUUUGGUCCCUUAAAUUAUUUUUGGUUUUCAUUUUGAUCCCCUAACUAUAAAACGUCUCAAUUUGGUCCCAUAAGUCUUCAUCCGUUUCUUAAUGUGGUCCUCUGCAAUUUUUUGAUGUGAUUUUAACCAUUUGAUUGCAUGUACAUUGUAUCUAAUAGUUAACCGUGAGCACCUAAUUUUUUUUCAUUUCUUUUCAAAAACCUAAAUCCUUUCUCUGUAAUUGAAACUAAAAUUCACAAAAAAUCACAACCUUAGAUUUACAACAUCACAAAAAAUCACUAAUCAAAAUAACUCAAAAAUGAAAUCUGAUUUCCAACAACAGUCACCACAAGAGAAGAAAAAAGAAUUCAUCCUAAUUUCUUUAUUCUCUUUAAACCCCCCAUUUUUGGUUCUGAAUCAAUCAAGCAAUAACCAUUUCUUCUUCUUCUAACGAAUUUGAUUCAAAAUCCAGAAAUUCGAUGAUCUAGAACCCAUAAAUUCCAUGAUUCAAAAACAAGAAUCUAUCUAUCUAUAUAUACAUGUAUUCUAACCUACAUUUUACCUAUGUGUAACCUCACAAACAUCCCCCUUUCUAACUAUUUCCUUACAUGCAUUCUCUCAUUAUAAGCAAGACUUUGCUUAUGUGUCACCUCACCAAUAAUUCUUAUUUCUUAUAUGAAUUUUAGUAUAUUAUAUGAAUGAAUGCAUUCUCCUAUGAAAGGGUUAUAAUAUUUAGUGUGACAUAAAUAUUUUUAAACAUGUAACUGCCACAAUCCUUCAAAACUAUGCAAUUUCUCAACAAAAAAAAACAUAUAUGCAACUGCUAAAUGCAGCCACGAGUUAUUGGCCAAAUGAAUUGUAAAUGAAUUGUGAUUCACUGAUUUGUGACUCCCAUGAAUUUAUUGUGGCAAUCUAUGUGCAAAUCCCAUUUACCAAAAAUCAUUUGCUAAUUUUUUAAUUAAUAAUUACCAAAACUUGAAUGAUUAUGGUGUAGUAAUGGUCAGUUACACAUCUUACUUAUUACCUUUAUUAUAAGCGGCUGACAAUUAUAUGGGUAACUCCUUUUUACCAAAAUUAUGUACCUUUAUUUCUUAUUGUAACUCCUUAUAGGUUACGGUUUUAAUAUAUCAUGCCACACAAAAGCAAUGGUCACAGUAAACAAGGUUCACAAUUUUUUUAUUUGUAUCACCAAGAAUGCAAUAUAAAUAUAAAUAAAUAAAUAAACAAAUUAGAAUUUAAUAGAAGUAAUGAAUAAUUUCGGCCAAAAUAUGUUCAUCCUUGGUUACAAUUUCAAUUUGUGCCUCUUCGCAUUCCUUCACAUAAAGCCUAAAAAUUUGUUACACUUUAAACCAUUUCAAUGACAGUAUUUCCCACACACCUAUAUAACCAGCAUUGGUGUCAUUCCUUUUCCACUCAUUCUGUCACAUCUAUCUGUGUAAUUUCAUUUCUUCCCACAUACUCUCUUUGCUUCCCUACCAUGUCUGCCAUUGAUGUCAUUGGAACCAAGUAAACCACUUUCUUGCACUUUUCCUCUACCAUGUUAAAUAAAACCUUUAAUCUAAUCUUUUUUCAUGUUCUUUACUUUUACAGGGUCGGAGAAGUCAACAACAAUGGUGUGCAUACCUUUCUCAACAAACUCUCCAAUGCUGCCCCUGAUACCAAGAUCAAAGUUAGGGUAGCACGCAUGUGGGACACGCUGAAUAUAACAAAAAAAAAGGAAAUAAUUAGUACAGAUAUGGUGCUAAUUGAUGAGAAGGUGUUUAUCAAUGAAAUUGCUAUAUUGUUGUUCCUUCGCAAAUAAUCUUUCUUUACUUACUAUUUACAAAUGCUUUCUAGGCAAAUUGCAUUCAUGCUACAAUACCAAGGAGGUUCUCACCUUCAUUGAAGAAAGUCUUGCAAGAAGGCAAGAUAUAUGUAAUUUCACACUUUGAGGUCUCAAAAAACAAGGAGAAAUAUGCUGUGGUUGAAAACAAUCCCUCCAUGCUUAGUUUCUAUGGUGACGCAAUUGUGACUGAGGAGGGCUCGGAUGACAACACAAUCCCUCGCUAUAUCUUUGAAUUUGUUAAUUUCAAUGAUCUUAUCAAACGUUGCGGGAAAGAGGUGUUGGCAGGUUGGUUUAGCAAAAUAUUAAAUUAUAUGUAAUACAAAUCUAUUACAUUGUGUAAAGAAUGUAACACUUUUGUUUCUCGACAGAUGUAAUUGGAUUUAUAAUUGAUGUGGAUCCAAUUGAGGAGAAAACAACCGUCAAUGGGAAAGUCGACAUGUUGUCACUUCAUUUGGGGGAUGGCAGGUGCAACAUAAUUUGUUCCCCAUGAUUUAAUUCUCAUUUAGUAGCGUAUAACACAUUUACCACAAAAAUCAAUUAACAAACUUUUUAAUCCUACGCAACUUUUGGCAGUGGGAAUGUCUUGAAGGUAACGCUAUGGGAUGACUAUGCUCCGAUGUUUAAUCAAAAACUGAUAGAUCAAAUGCAUGCUACUCCUAAGCCAAAUGUGGCAAUUUUUACCUCCACUUUGGUAAAACAAUACCAAGGUAACUGCUCAUACCAUGACAUUUAAUAUUCAACUUAAUUACCCUCUCCUCAACCACUCCAUAUGUGAUAUAUUUUUGUAGGUGAGCUUUAUGUUUCGUCUUCAAGAUCCACAACAAUUUAUAUCAACAUAGACACCCCUGAAGUUGCUGAUCUAAUUUUGUCGUCCAAGUGCGUCAUUUAACUCAUGUUUAAAUACUUAUGUUUAUAUUAUGUUGCCUAUUUUCUAAUUGUGUGUUGUUGCAUCGUUGUAGGGGGAAAAACAGUGUUUUGAAAACAACUGAAACUUUGUCUUUAACUAAUGUUGAUGUGAAGACCAUAUCUGAGCUUUUAUCCAUGGCAGUUUCGGGAGUUUAUCAGGUCAACACUUGGUUAAUUAUUCUCUAGACCUAUUUUUUAUUUCAUUAUCACAGUGUGUCAUACACUCAUACUUUCAACUUUACUUGCAGGGUGAUGUUGUCUACAAUUGUGUUGCAACAGUUGAUGACAUCCUGCUAAAAAAUGGGUUGUAUUAUGUUUCUUGCCCUCAUUGUAGGAAAACUGUGAGUUCCACUGAGACAGACUUCAAUUGUGAGCAUUGUACUAAAAAGGUCGACUAUCCAAAGAUUAGGUGAGUUCAUUUGAAGUAUUUUUUUUCCUUAUCACAUGGCCUUAAAUAUAUAUAUGUUGCUUGAAAUAAUUACAAUGAAUCUCUAUAGGUACCGUUUGGAACUUCAAGUCAACGACUCUACGGAAUCAACAAUAUUUGUGUUGUUUGCCGAAGUUGCUGAACAAUUGGCACAACUAAAGCUAGAUGACCUCACCCCGGAUUUAGAAAAUGUGUGUUACAUUAUAUCCUAAAUCUAAUAUGGUGUUUAUCGGUGUUUUUUUUUUAUUAUUGAAAAAAUAGAAUAAAAGUUGAUUGUUUUCUAAACUUACAUUCCAUUCCUUUUUGUUUGGAUAGCAGACUGGACGUGACUCUGAUCUGCCUAAACAGCUCCAGCAUAUCAUUGGUUCAAAGCAUAUUUUUCAAGUUAAGCUGAGCUCUUACUUUGAACGUCGUGGAGUACAAAGCUUCACUGCACAUAAGAUUCUGAAGCCAGUUGUUAAGGUGUUUAGUUAUAUCAUGUUUCCAUUCUUUUAUUCUUCACUGCUGGAAACCAUUAUAUACUAAAUUUUUGAUGUAAUUUAACAAAUAUCAGAUUGAGAAAGAAGACAACAUUGCCACUGCGUGUUCUUCCUCAAGUGGAUCUCUUACCAUUGAAAUACCAGAUUUGCCGAAGAAGAGGAGAAAAUUAAUGUAAGAUGUAUCAUUGUCUAAUGCAUUUAACCAUGUAUAUAUGUAAGCUAUAAAUGUGAGCUAAAAAAAACUUGCGGAUUUUUUCAGAUUGCACUCCAACAAAUCAGGUGAUAAGGACCAGAAUGAAGAUGUGGAAGAUUUAGAAGAUUGAGAAGUUGGCUGCUAAGGAUUUAAGAGGAUUUGCUUUUGAAGUUGUUUUUCAUGGUUUAGUUUAUGUUUCUCUAAUCAAUAGAGAUGUGGAUUUCAGUUUAUGUUUUUUUGAGGUUGUGUUUUUUUUUUUUUUGAGGACUUUGUCUUUUUUGUUUUUAACCUAGACUACAUUGUUGGUUUAUGUUUUUUGGAUGUUGUGUUUUUUUAAGAAUAUUUUCUUUGGAUCAAUGUUACUUUGACCUAAAUUAUAUUGUUGGUUUAUAAUGUUAUAUUGAGGGAUUUUGUUGUUUUUAAUGCUGACCUAUAUUUUGAAGACAAAGAUUAUGCAUCUAUAUGUUAAGGUGAAUGGUAAUCAUGUUUUCAUUCAUUUAUUGUUCACUUAAAAUAAUGAAAUACAUAAUUCUUAUGUGAUUUUACAAAUUUCAGAUUGAGAAAGAAUACAACAUUGACACUAUAUGUUCUUCCUCAAGUGGAUCUCUUGGCAUUAAAACGCCAGAUUUGCAGAAAUUAAUGUAAGAUGUAUCAUUGUCUAAUCAUUUAAGCGUGUAAAUAUGUAUGCUGAAACAACACUUGGAGAAUGAUAAAAAUUGCACUCUGGCAGCGAAUCAGGUGAUGAUGACAAGAUGGAAUAUUUAGAAGAUUGAUAGCUUGGCUGCUAGGGACAGAGGCAGAUGGAAUAUUUAGAAGAUUGAUAGCUUAGCUGCUAGGGAAGGAAGAAUGUUUGCUUUUGAAGUGCUUUGCAUUGUUUGGUUAAGGUUCCUCUAAUAAAGUUGUGGAUUCCAACUAUGUUGUAUUUUGAAAACUCAUGUUCCCAUGUCGAGGAUGUUAAAAAUAUUAUUUCCUUUUGAAGUGCUUAGCAUUGUUUAGAAAACUAAUUGUAUUUAGUAUUUUAAGCUUUGCAUUGUUUGAAGUGCUUUUCAAACUAAUUGCAUUUUUAAUAUUAAUUUAUAACAAGAGGAACAUGAGAACUGUUUUUUAUGAUAUAGUCUUUUCAAUUAUUUUUCUUUGGCCUAAAUUACAUUAUUGGUUAAUGUUUAUUUACAAGUUUGUUGGUUUAUCUGUUUUUCAUCAUAAAUUUACUGAAUCUAAUGCCAUAAUAAUUACACAAGUUGUAUUGAGACAUAUCAAAUUAACAAUGACACAAAUAUAGAUAGAUAGGUUCUUCCUCAAAAAAAAAAAAAAAAAAAAAAGGAUAAAUAAGUUUUUUACAUGGGCCAACCAAAAUAAAAUAAAAUACUAACUUAAAUAUUAACAAAAAGUGCUAAUCUUUAUUAAGAUCCUAUUAUAUUCUUUAUACGUAACUAUAAAUUACUACCACGUUAAUACCCAAAAAAAAAAAUAUUAUUACCUUUUGCCAAAUAACUAAUAAAAUACAAAUACUCCAUCAAUGUUAUUUGAGCUCAAUUCCAGUUGUGAGUUCUUACAUUAACAUGUGAUAGACAAAGGGUGUGUUAGUUAUUAUCCUUAUAUUAUUAUAUACUAUACUAUUUUUUUAGACCAUUUAAUUAUGGUUGAUGUACCACAUAUUGAAAGAUUUAUAAUUAAAAUUUACAUUUCAAAAAAUCAAAGAAUAUAAAACAUAGUGAAAUGUAAUUAUACUUUCCUCAACUUAGGCAUAAUAUUGAUAUAUAAAUAAGUAACUAAUAUUUACAAGUUUUUUUCCAAUGACGUUAUAUUUAUAUCUAAAAGCAUGAAAUAAUAUAAACAUGUUCAAUUUUAUAAUAAUAAUGAUAAUAAAAUAUUAUUGUUCUUUUUGUUGAAAUCAAAUUAGUUCUACAUUAGCACACAAAAAAGGAACAUAGACAUACUAAUGAAAGAUAAAAAAGAAAAAUUGUCCUUUGAGUAGAAGUAGCACACCUAUUUCAGCACAAAAAAAUAAAAAUAUACAGCUACCUAGACAUACUAAUGAUCAUCGUAUUAAUUACUUAUUAUUAUUAUUAUUAUUGUUAUUAUUAUUAUUGUUGUUGUUGAUGUAUCCAUUAAUUUUUGUAACAUAUCAUAUUAUUAGAUAUCAAUUUUUCAUCUGCAUAACAUAAAAAAUCAUAAAUGUUGCAUAAAUAAUAAAUGCGUACAUGUAUUCUAAGCUACAUUUUCCUUACAUGUCACCUCACCAAAGCUCUCCCUUUGUAACCAAUCUCUCAUACUUAUGCCAUGUGGCUCUCUAUUUCAUUUUUUAGCUUUUUUCUUUCAUUAUUAUUAUUUUUUGGUAGAAUCAUUCAUCUAUUUACUACACAUUUAUUUGUAUAUAAUAUUGAUGUUGAUACAUAUUCAGAUAGUUCUUCUAUUAUGUAACUUCUAUUAUGUAACUGUCAAUUGUUCCACCGUCCAUCUUCUUUUAUUUUAUUCAGGUUUUUAAUUUAUUAGCUAAAACAAUAGGAUCAGAUGAACACAUAGUCGUAUUUCAACAUUCAGAGGUGCUAUUUCUAAAAAAGUUAUUUCAUUGAGCAGAGGUGCUAGGAUUAGAUCAUCGUUUUAUUUUUAUUGUUUUUUUUUUUUUCCCCGUCCAUCUUUUUUUUCUUCUAUUUUCUACAUGAUCUAUAUAUUUAUUGACUUCUUUAUCAUAUAAAUUGAUGUGGCUUUGUAACAUCAAAUUCUCAUACAAUAUCAGCAACUAAAACAUUCAUGUCACAGUUCCUUCUUUCGCUGCUUAUAUUGUUGGUUCCUACUCAUGCAAACAAUCAUGUCAAGAUUAUAUAAUAUUGUAGUUUAGCUUCAUGAUUACUUACAUGUUCAGCCAUGGUUGCCGCCUCUUACAUUCUCACAUCCAAUCAGAAUACUUUGCUUCUCUGUUCUCACAUCUAAACUGAACCGCUGACACCUGUGUUCUCUUUCUUCAACCUUCAUUCCUUUCUCGCGUCUCACCACCCCUGCGUUCAAUACGACAACCUCCGUUAUUUCUAUUUUCGUUGUAAAUAUAUGUUUUGUUUUUAUUCUUUAAUCAGUAAAGAAACAUGAAUCAAAGUUCAGGUAUAGUAUUUCAGACUUCUUUUGGAUUCUCAUAUAUCAAAUGAUCAACAUUUUUUACACACAUUAACAUCUAAACCAUCUCAUGUAUCUAUGCUAUGGUCUACAUAUGAAGUAAUUAAACUUACAAUUUUACAAAUAUUAAUUUCAUAAUAGUCAUGUCAUACAUAAUGCUUCUAUUCUUAUUUUUUUAUUGUUUAAUGUAUACCAUAAACCAGUAAAUGCUACAGAACAUGUUGAGGUAGCGACAUCGGAGAAACACAACAAAAGAAAGACAAAUACAAUGAAUAUCAACGACACAUCAGAGAGGCAUAACAAAAGAAAAAGAUAUGCGAUAAAUAUCAGUGACCCACUAGAACUCCAACAAAAAAAUGGUUAGUCGAAGCUAUUUGGUGGACUCAUUUUAUAUUUGUUACAUUAUCUAUGUUAUUAAAUUGUUAAUUUUUAUAUUUUUGCUUUUAAUCUGUUCCAUUUUAUAAUUCCCAAUAAUAAAAACAGAAUAUCAACACAAACAAAAACUUGCUGGGUUUCGACAAGCCAGGUUGAAUAGGAAGCAAAUGCUCAGUUUGAGGCGGAAUAAAGGAAACAUUGCUGCAUUUUUCGGUGAAAUAUAAAAUUUAGGACAUACACAUGGAUUAUUAUAGCUCAUGCUUUAUAAAAACUCACUAACGUUAUGGCCUAACGGCCAACUUAUUUUCAUUACUUAUGUUGUAUGCACUUACUCUUUGUCAGGAGACACUUACCAACAGUGUAACGUAGGCACAUCAACAACCCAAGACAUUAAUAGCAAUACUGAAAACGUUUGUGCCACGUUUGAGCUCCGACACACAAGUGGUUGGUUUUAUGCAUUUCAUUUAUCAAUUUAACAUUUAAACAACUUAAAAUAUUUUACUUUCAAUCUUCUUAUUUUUAAUUGGUUCCAUUUUAUUGUUCUUAAUGUUGUAAACAGAAGAACAAAAUAUACAACGGCUUGCAGGGUUUAAACAAGCCAGAUUAAAAAGGAGACAAAUCCUUGAUUCAAGGCGCCGUUGCCCCACUUUUGCAGCAUCCAUAGGUGAGAACAAAAUAAGAACUAAAUAAUUCAUGAGUCAUACAUACUAACUUUGUAACUGUUCUAACAUUUUCCAAUUCUCGGUACAUUCGAGGUGUCACAUCAACACCACAAAAUAUACAACGCCCUUGCGGGGUUUAAAUAAGCCAGAUUAAAAAGGAGGCAAAUCCUUGAUUUAAGGCGACAUAGACCCACCUUUGCAACAUCCAUAGGUAAAACCAAAAAUAAAACUAAAUAAUUCAGAGUCAUACAUAUUAACUUUGUAACUGUUUUAACAUUUUCAAAAUGUUGGUACAUUGGAGGUGUCACAUCAACAGCACAAGACAGUAAUAGGAAAAAUGAAAACGUUUGUAGCACUUUUGAACUACGACACACAAGUGGUGGGUCUUAUGCAUUUCAUUUAUCAAUUUAACAUUUAAACAACUUCAAAUAUUUCAUUUUAAACUUCUUAUUUUUAAUUGGUUUCAUUCUAUUAUUCUUAAUCUUAUAAGCAGAAGAACAAAAUAUACAACGAUGUGCGAGAUUUAAACUAGCCAGAUUCAAAAGGAGGCAAAUCCUUGAUUCAAGGCGACCUAGCCCCACAUUGGCAGCAACCAUAGGUGAAGAAAAAUAAAUAAAACUACAUAGUUUUUAAUUGUUCUAACAUUUUUCAAUUCUCGAUACAUUCAAUGUGUAUUUGGUGGAAUAUUUAUGAUAAAUUAUAUUUUUAAAUUAAUUUUCAUAUAUAGUUCAUGAUAGUUUAAAUUAUAUUUAAAUUAAAUCUUAGAAAAUUAAUUUAAAAUUUAUCAAAGACUUUAAUUUAAAUAAAUAAAAAUCUAACAUUUACUACUUCUAUUACAUCUGCUUACUCUUCGACAGGAAAUAAGACAUCCAAACCCAUAACAACACAUAAAAGGACAAAUACCAAAAGUAUUCACAGUACACAUCGAAUCCAACACAAAAGUGGUUAGUGUUAUCUCUUUGCAUGACCAAUUUAAUAGUAGCUUAUAAUAUUUAAAUACAAUAUUUAAAUGCACAAUGAAACCAUCAUAGCUGCAUUUAUUACCUUUUCUGACUCCCGGUGCUUAAGACUCUAAAAAACGACUAACGUGAACUGAUAAUAUUCGAUAUAUAUACUCUCAACAGGAAACAACAACCAACAAACUGGGUCAGUCGCAUCUAGAACACACGACAGAAGGAUGAAUCCAACAAAUGGUUAGUGUGGCUUAUUUCUUUAAACAACUUAGCAUUGCAAAAACCAAUAAUCUUUCACUUUAAAAUCUCAUUUGCAGACCAUGUCCAAACUUAUAUGGAUCUCGGCCAUCCAAAUUUUGAAUGCGAAAAAUGUGGAAGCACAAUGUGGUAUAAUGAGAGAGCUGAUAAACCACGUCGACCAAGGAACCCAACAUUCUCUCUUUGUUGCCUGAAAGGGGAUGUCUCCCUAGAGUUUUUAGAGCAACCACCAGACUACUUGAAGGAACUUUUAGCUUACAAAGGUGGCAGACACUCCGUUAAAUUUAGAGAAAAAAUACGGGCAUAUAAUUCUAUUUUUGCAUUCACAUCCAUGGGUGCUAAAAUAGACAACACAGUGAACUUACGUCCAGGCCCAUAUGUGUACAAAAUUAGUGGUCAAAACUAUCAUAGAAUUGGUGGACUCAUACCUGGCCAAGGAAAACAACCUAAAUUCUCCCAGCUUUAUGUCCAUGAUACGGAGAAUGAGAUCCAAAAUCGAUUGAGUUCGCUGAAUGGUGGGAAGACUGCACGAGACCUUGAUGCAGAUAUUGUCCGGCGCCUAAAGGAUAUGCUCGACAUGAAUAAUUCUGUAGCCAAAUUAUUUAGAAUGGCAAGGGAUAGAUUAUCUGCACCGGACAACAAAGAAGUUCGCAUAAGGUUGAUUGGCACAAGAUCAAAUGAUUCAAGACAAUAUACAACACCUACCGCAACAGAAAUUGCUGGUCUCAUUGUUGGAGAUUUUGGUGAAUCAAAUGGACGAAGAGAUAUAGUUAUUGAGCAUAAAACAGAUGGCCUGCAGAGAAUAAAAGAAUAUCAUCCAAAAUUCAUGGCAAUGCAAUAUCCUCUGUUAUUUCCAUAUGCUGAGGAUGGAUUUCACCUAGACAUUUAUUAUUCUCAAAAUCAUGCAAAAAGAAAGAAAAAGAAAAAAAGAAAAAAAGUUACCCUGAGAGAAUAUUAUGCUUACCGGAUACAACAGAGGCCCUGUGAAGCAAAUACUCUUAUUAUUGGUGGUCGACUGUUCCAACAAUACGUUGUUGAUGCAUUCACGGCAAUAGAAGAAGAGCGACUGCGCUGGGUUAGACAGAAUCAAACAGUGUUGCGUACGGAUCUGUACAGAAAUGUAUGUGAUGCAGUUGUGCGUGGAGAUACAAUAGCUGCUGCUACUGGGAAGAGAAUCGUUUUGCCAUCUUCUUUUACAGGUGGCCCUCGAUAUAUGGUUCAAAACUAUCAAGAUGCCAUGGCCAUAUGCAGGACAUUUGGAAAUCCUGAUAUCUUCAUGACAUUUACUGCUAAUCCAAAGUGGCCAGAGAUUCAAUACAUGCUUCAGAAAAUACCAGGUCAAUCUGUCGAUGAUAGACCGGACAUCAAGACAAGAGUUUUUAAAAUGAAACUUGACCAGCUAAUGAAACACAUAGUGGAGGGGCAAUAUUUUGGUAAAAUUAUAUCAGGUAAAAGUACAUGGAAUAAAUGUUCUCACAUUCUAAAAAAAAAAAAAAUUAAAGAUCAAUUUGAUUCAAAUUGUUUAUUCAAUCUAUAUGAUACAUACAUGUUAUACUAAUAAAGAUUUGUUUUUUUUCUCUCUUUUCAAAUUGACAGCCAUUUAUACCAUAGAGUUUCAAAAAAGAGGUCUGCCACAUGCACACAUACUAUUAUGGUUGCACCCAAGCAAUAAGUAUCCCACCCCGGAGGAUAUAGAUAAGAUUAUUACUGCAGAAAUGCCAUCUAAGGAAGAUGAUCCAGAAUGUUUUAAUGCGGUAAAACAGUUCAUGCUGCAUGGACCGUGUGGAGAUGCAAAUAUAAAUGCACCUUGCAUGAUUGAUGGUAUUUGUAGUCGAAAAUUUCCCAAAAGUUUUUUCGAUGAAACAACAAUAGAUAGAGAUGGGUUCCCGACGUAUAGAAGGAGGGACGAUGGAAGACAUGUGAAAAAAGGAGAUAUCAAUUUAGACAAUCGGUAUGUGGUUCCAUACAAUCGAGGUUUGUUGCUGGCAUUUCAAGCACAUCUAAAUGUUGAAUGGUGCAACAAGUCAAGGGCCAUAAAGUACCUAUUUAAAUAUCUUCACAAGGGCCCAGAUAGAGCAAUAAUGGUAAUAGAAGAUAAUGUUUUGGGCAACAGAAGCACAAAUGCAACUCAUAUAACAAUGGUUGAUGAGGUCAAAACAUUCUUGGAUUGUAGGUACGUCAAGGUAGUUAUAGGGAAUACUCUAAUAAUGAUCACAAUGAAUUUAUAACCAUUUCAUCUUUUAUGCAUUAUUCAUUGUAGGUAUGUAUCGGCAUGUGAAGCAUGUUGGAGGAUAUUCAAUUUUGACAUACACUACAGAAAUCCGGCUGUUAUGAGAUUGAGCUUUCAUUUGCCAGAAGAACACUCAAUCACUCUAAGAGAUUCAGAGCAAUUGUCAGACGUAAUUUCAAAGGAAGGAGUUGAACAUACUAUGUUUACAGAAUGGAUGCUAAUGAAUUCAAUGAGCUCGGAAGCACGUACAUUAACGUAUUCUGAGUUUCCCAAAAAAUUUGUUUGGGACGAGACAAAAAAAAAGUGGAAAAAACGGAAAGCUGGAAGAACAAUCGGAAGAAUUUAUUAUGCACAUCCAACUAGCGGGGAGAAAUAUUACCUCAGAAUUUUACUGAAUAUUGUUCAUGGUCCAACAAGCUAUGAAGAAAUAAAGACAGUGGGAGGGGUGACUUAUCAGACAUUCAAAGAAACAUGUAAUGCUCUUGGGCUAUUGAAUGAUAACAGAGAGUGGAAUGAUGCAUUGAAUGAAGCAUCACAGUGGGCCACAGGCACUCAAUUAAGAGAGUUAUUUGUUACCAUUUUGCUUUAUGGAGAAGUGGCAGAUAUAGGGAAACUAUGGGAAACUAAUUGGAAAACGUUGUCUGACGAUAUUGUCUACAAAAAGAGAAUAUUGUUUCAACACUCCAGAUUGGAGCUUAAUGAUGAACAGAUUCAAUCAUACUGCUUGAUUGAAAUUGACAAGAUUUUGGUUCGUGCUGGAAGUUACCUUUCUGAUUUUGAUGGAAUGCCGUUGCCAAAUAGUGAAUCCUUUGAAGCCACGGAAAACCGACUUAUUGUGGAAGAGCUUAGUUAUAAUGUUGAUGACCUGAAAAAAGAACACGAAAGAUGUCAUCCAUUGUUGAACGAACAGCAGAUUGAUAUAUAUAAUAAUGUUAUAAAUGCUGUCAACACUAAUAUUGGUGGACUCUACUUCGUGUAUGGCCAUGGAGGGACUGGCAAGACUUUUCUAUACAGAACAAUUAUUGCAAAACUCAGGUCAGAAAAAAAGAUAGUACUUGCUGUUGCUUCUUCAGGUAACCCAUCACUUUUUCAAUCCCUUAUAUAAAUUUACAUGUUGUCUAUUUGUACUUAUAAAUAUGUCAGUCCAUACACCCUUAUUUCUGCGCUUCAUUGCAAUAUUUAUUGUACAAAUUACUAUAUGUACCAAAUUAGCAACUAUUAUAUGCUAUAAUCUAUCUAAUAUUAUAUGCUUUUCUUCUACACAAAAUAUAAAAAAAAACAUACAAUUUUUAUUCAAAUAUAUAAAUAUAUAUAUAUAUAUAUAGAUAGAUAGACAUAGACACACACAUAUGCUUGCAUGCAUAAAUAUAUUUUCAAUUUUUUUUUUAAUUUCAUUCUUGACAGGUAUUGCAUCCCUCUUGCUUCCUGGAGGAAGGACCGCUCAUAGUAGAUUUAAAAUUCCUCUUGAGAUCUAUGAAGACAGCACAUGCUCAAUAAACCAAAAUACUCAUCUAGCUGAUCUAAUGGUUCAAACAGAUCUCAUAAUCUGGGAUGAAGCACCAAUGACUCAAAGAUAUGCUUUUGAAGCUCUUGAUAGGACACUUAAAGACAUAAUUGGUUUCAAAUUUCCGGAUAGGGCAGAGCAACCAUUUGGAGGAAUGACAGUUCUUCUUGGAGGAGAUUUUAGGCAAAUACUUCCUGUAAUACCAAAAGGUCGAAUACAUGAUAUAAUUCAAUCAUGCAUCAACAAGUCUUUUUUGUGGGACUACUGUACAAUAUUUUCAUUGUCCAAAAGCAUGAGGGUCAGAAAUACUACCUCUACAGGCAAAGAACAUGAUGUGAUACGUGAAUUCAAUAAAUGGCUACUUCAACUUGGUGAUGGAAACAUUCAAGCACAAAGCCGACGUGGUGAAGAUUUUGCAUCGUGGACGACGAUACCAGAUCAAUAUCUUAUCCCACCAAUGGGUGAUCCACUCAAACAAAUUGUGGAUAACACUUACCCAGAAUUAAAGAGCCAUCUGUGGGAUGAAGAAUAUUUCAGGGAAAGAGCAAUACUCACUCCUCUAAAUGAAACAGUUGAUGAAAUCAAUAAUUAUAUUGUUCAGUUUACUGAUGGAGAAACAAAACAAUACAGAAGCUCAGACGAGAUUGACAAGACAACUGACAACAUAUCAGAUCAAGAGCUCAUGUAUCCUGUGGAAUUUCUAAACUCCUUAAAUAUUAAUGGAUUUCCAAGACAUUGUUUGGAGCUUAAAGAAGGAAUGCCUAUUAUGUUAUUGAGGAAUAUCAAUCCGGCAUUAGGAAUGUGUAAUGGAACAAGACUUAUUAUUACGCAUCUAGGAGAGCGAGUAAUAGAGGCUAAAAUAAUUACAGGAUCUAACGUUGGUUCAAAGGUGCUAAUCCCCAGAAUUGUUCUUACUUCUAACGACUCUAAAUGGCCUUUUCUGUUGCGCAGGAGGCAGUUUCCAAUUAAGGUGUGCUAUGCAAUGACAAUAAACAAAAGUCAAGGCCAGUCAUUAAAUUAUGUGGGAUUAUAUUUGCCAAGACCUGUAUUUAGUCAUGGACAACUAUAUGUUGCCUUUUCAAGAGUCACUUCCCCAGAGGGACUGAAAAUUCUAAUUGUUGAGCGUGAUGAGAAUUAUGUACAAUACACGAAAAAUGUAGUGUACCAUGAGGUAUUUAGUGGUCUUCCUCAAUGUAAAUAUAUUUGAUGCACUGUUUUCAAAUCUAUCUAUCAUUCACAAUAACUUUAGCAACUACGUUAUUCAUUGUUAACUAACACACUUCGAUUUGUACCAUUGAUUUUUUACAAUAAUAACCGCGAAUCCCAAGUAAUCGGACUUUUUAUAACAGAAUUUAAACUUCAGAACCUUAAUAAAGUAAAAUCCUACAAACACAACAAUAACCAUUUGAAUCGUUUCAAUGGUGAAAAAACUUAUUAAUGGUUACAACCGUAAGUUUCUAUCUACACAUCAACUAAUAGCAUAAAUGGUUCCAAAUGAGCAGCCAAUGUUAAACCAAUAACUAAAAUUAUCAUAUCAAUUGAUCAAUGUACCUUAUACGAAGCAGCCCACUACUAAUUGGCAAACACUAUCGAUCCUUUAACUCACAUACCUAAAAAAAAAACAUUUUAUCAACAAUUACAAAACUGAACUGAGUUCAACAAAUUGAAACUAAAUCCAAAACAAAAUUUAAUAUAAGUAACAUGUGUACAACAAUAGUAGGAGGAUGAUUGUCGCCGAACUCGGUAACGAAUUCAACAGACAGCUCAACGGAAACUAACCCAGAGAUGAAGAACAAAAUAUUCAAAUGUUUACAUUUUAAUAGUUUCUACAUUUUAAUAUAACCAUUUUAAUAGUUUCAUUGGUGGAAAAACUUAUUAAUGGUCAAAACCACAAAAAAAAAAAAAAAAUAUCAAAUUUACGCAUAAAUGGUUCCAAAUGAACAACCAGUGUUGAAUCAAUGACUAAAAUUAUCAUAUCAUUUUAUCAAUGUACCGUCUAUGAUGUGUUCCACUGCUAAUUGCCAAACAACUUCCAUAGUUGAACUCACAUACCUAAAACAAAUAACACAAUUCAUCAACACUGACAAAAAUGAACAGAGUUCAACAAAUUAAGAAUACAUCGAGAACAAAAUUGAAAAUAACUAAAAAAAUGUGUAAAACAAUAUCCCGAUCUCACUACCGGAUUCAAGUUGGGCCUCAACCGAAAAAACCCACAAACAAGAACAAAAGAUAAAGAAGAAGACAACUGACAUCACCUUCUUCUCGGUGCUCAACGGUUCUGCGAUUGAACCGUCGUUCGUUCACUCGACAUCAACGAAGAACCAUCUCGGAUAAUAACACUGCUGGCAUCAGAAAUAGGCACAAAGUGUUAUCUGAGGAUUAUCUGCAGAAAGUUGCUUCUAUUGGUGUCAGAAAGAAGCGUUCGUCUCAUCAACAUCAUUCUUUUGGAACGAGUAGUGAUAAAAAGGAACGAUCCAACGAUGUCUUGAAAGUGGUCAAAAUAAUACGUAGAGAUAAGAACCAUAACCUGUCAAAGGAAAAUUUGCUGCAUCAACAGAAAACGAAUAAUAGGUUGCGAAUUGUUGUCCAUGGAGGAGAUGGAUUGUUUGAAACAUAUAGGCUUUCGAAAUCUCAAUUUGAUGGGGAGGAUGUAACUUUCAACUCAAGAAUUUCUGUAACGAUUAUCAAGAAUAUAGGCUUAAGAAGAAUUGCUUUUUUUGAAACAUAUAGGCUUUCGAAGAAUUGCUUUGCCUUUCCAAAUUAUCGAGGAUUGCCGUGUUCAUCUUGGUUGAAAGGAGUUUAAAAAAUUCACGUUUUUAGGGAUUCAGUUGUGUUCUCUUUUCUUUCAAAAUCACUUUUAUGUUUAAAUAUAAAAAAAUUCCUUUUUAUUUUAUAUUGUUCGUAACUUUUCCUUCUUUUUUUUAAACAAAAAAAUUAAAAAUCUUACUCUUUAAUUUUGAUUAGAUAUGUUAUUAAUAACUUUUUAUUUUUUAUUCAAUCAACUACUACUUCAGUAUGAAAUUAUAACACUUUUUGAUAAAAACAAAAAAAAAAAAAAAAAACCCUUUUCAUAUUUUCGACUAACAAAAAUGCAUCCAAGUUUUUACCCUUUUUUUUUUGUGAUAGUCCAAGUUUUUACCUUAAAAAUAUGGACCUACAAACCAUUAAUUUUAUUUUUUUGAUCAGUAAACAUCUGAUUUUUUGGAACUGAAGAACUUUAAUUGCGGUCAAAUAUAAUCUUUAAUGAUGGAAUCAAUUUUUUUAUUAAAGAACUCAAUUUUUAAUAUACUUGAUAUCAUUGUAUCAUUUACUUUAAAUAUUUGCUAAAAUAAUGUUAUUUUAAAAAUAUAAAAUGUCCAACAUUUUUUUUAUAUAACUAAAUAAUGAUCUGAUGCAUCAACUAAAACAAUUUAAUCAAACCCGUGCAACGCACGGGUUGUAUCCCUAGUUAAUUAAAUGAAUUCAAAACCCAGAAAAGGAAAGAAAAAGGGAAAGAAGAAGAAAAGGAAAGAAAAAGAAAUGAAAACUGUUAAGUUAAUGAAGAAAAUUAACGAAAAGGAAAGAAGAAGAAAAAUGGGAAAGAACGAGAAUGAGGGGAAGAGGAAAAAAAGAAAGAAAAAGAAAAGGAAGAAAUGAGGAGAAAGAAGAAAUUUUUUUGGGUUGGUAUGAAAAAUGGAGGAAAAAUUAUGUUGAAGAUGAUUAAGAGGAGGAUGAAGAAUGGAGGAAAAAUUAGUUAAUAAAUGGUACACUAUAAGAUAGAAUAGACAUGCACAAUCCAACGAUCCUCUUUUUAACUAAAAUAUCAAAUGGUUAAAAUUAAAAAACUUAGUAAGGUCUAUGGUGGACCACCUAUAAUGUUGGUUCACCUUAGACAUUUAGUGUUAAAAACAGACGGAAGUGUCCAAAAUGGUAAACGACAGAAGAGUUAUGGGACCAAAUUGAGACACUUUAUAGUUAAAGGAUCAAAAUAAAAAUAAAAAAUAAGUUAAGGGACCAAAUCAUGUAUUAAACCAAAAAAAAAAUGUAGGCUGUGUCGAGUGAAUGGAAAAAGAGCAGCUGCAAAGAGAGUGAUUGGUUGUAAAGGGGGAGAGAAAAAGCAUAAUCCAGUGGUUUGUCACUAAAGAUAUCAUGUACCCUUUUUUUAUCUAACGGUCAAUUUAAACGGUACACCGGUGAGGGACUUAAUAGAGCCCUCACCCUAGAAUCAAUUAUAAAUAAUAACUUAGUUUUGAUUCUUUUUACUUUCUUUUCUAUUAAUUCAUUCAUCCACUAAAACACAGAGACAUUGUCUCAGAUUUGCAAGAAUCUUGAAUGGAUUGUGUGUACGUUGGCAGGGAUAGUAGCAUUUAUCACAUGAAAUUGUCUUUACAGUUUGUUUGGAUUUACGAGUGAAGAAGUUUUCUCUUUAAUUCCAACCGGAAGUGGUGACCGGAAACUCAUCCAAGGUGGCGUGCGGUGGCUCGCCGGUGUAGGAAGAAAGGCAUACAGGCUAAAGUUUUAACUCAAAUUGAAGGUUGAAAAACAUACUUCUGGAAGAAAAAACAUACUCCGUCCCAAACAUGUUUAAGUUUUAAUUGUUCUGAAGAAAAAAAAAACGAUAUUGGGAUGGCAGGUUUGAUGUUGGUGGUGGUGGGUUAGUGAGGCAUGAAGAAGAAAUAAUAGUGUUGAAGAUGGUGUAGAAGAAUAAUAUGGUGCUGAGAGACUAUGAUAAAUGUGUAUACUUUAUUUGAUCAAAUAACUUUUCCAUGGUGGAAAAGUUUUACCCUUUCCCAUGUUAAAUGCCACACGAGGACAAGUGUACAAUGGCAAUCUAUUUUACUACACUCUUUUUUUCUGCACAAGGACAAAUUGUGACGUUUGAUGUUCAGCUUCAUAUAAAUAUGAAAGGAGUUUGUCGAACAUUUAUCAUGCCUAAAUAUCCAAAUAUGCACCUACGAUUGACAUAAACCAAACCCAAGACUACCAACCAAGAUUAACCUAAACAAAACGACGUGGUUUCUUAACUCUACCAGUAGUGGGUGCAGACUUACGUGCAGCCUAAAGGAACCGAAAAAACCAAAAAAAUUAACCAAAUAUAUUCAAUCACCAUAAUGCAAAUAACAUUCAAUGAUUAUGAAUAUGAUGGAUUCAAAAACUCACCUUGGUUGCAAGUUGCUUCCUAGGUGCCUUUCCACCAGUAGCUAAGCGAACAUGAGCGAGAGUUAGUGCUCCACAAAUUGUUUAAAUUAUGCUUUUGGAUUUGUUUAAAAUUAUCCUCUAGUUGGAUUUUUUUUUUUGGCUAUGUAAUAUUUAAGAACAUGGAAUGCCAAAGGAAUUUGAUUAUAGUUCAAUUGGUGACGAUCAAAAGUUGUGAAAGUUCAUAUUCUUCGGUCAUUGAUAAACAAUUUGUUGGACAAUAUUCAAUACAGUUACCACAAAAAAUACAAAUUUCGAAAUCAAUACUGUAAUUUAGCAACUGUUUCUUUCGAAUAUCAAUUUAGCAAUUGUUUCUUUUGAACACAUACUUCACAAGCAAUGCAUUUAUCAAAUUCAAAAUGGAUUCAACCGCGGAAACGUUCCGAUGUGAUUAAUUUUUCAUAAGGAUAUUGAAAAGUUACAGGUAAACGAUUUGCGUGAGAUAAGAUAAUCAUGAAACUUUGAUCAAUGUACCUUGCAGCUCAGACUGUUUGUUGACCAUAAUUCAUGAUUUAUGACUUGUUAAUUGUAACACCCCGUUACCCAAAGCAAUAAAAUAGCAUAUAAACAUCAGAGUAAUUCCACAAACGGGCAUGCUACAUUGCAAAUUCAAAAUUCUUAAAUAGAAAAUAAAACUAUUUAGUUCAACAUCAUUCAUAACUUCAAUAAUUAUGCAGCGGAAAGUUUUGCAUUUCAAUAACAACCACAACAAUUUAAAUCUCCAACAAUAUCCUGACAUUAAGCCUAAACAACAAAAGUCAAACAACAAAGGGCCCCAUCGUUAAGUUCCAAAAAUUGAUACAUAGGAGGAAAACAACAAUAAAAUAAUAUAAAUGCUCCCAUCCCACGUAUCAAAGCCCUAGACACGACAAUGAGCCACCACCAACUACUCAGGAUCACCUGCAAGUUACCCAUAGGAAGGGCAACGUUUUCAAGCAGAAGGGGUGAGAUUCACAACAAUAAAUAUAGAUUUUAAAAAUCAUCAAAUGAAUCUAACACCCUAAUCAACAACACAUUAUCUUGUAAACAUAUAUUUGUAUAAGUCACAAGCAACAACAACAUCAACAAUACACCAUAAUUACGGUGAAUAUAAAUAUAUAUAACACAUAUUCAACACCAACAUCAUCUAUCAAAUAACAACUGAAACCAACAACCAAAACUCAUGCAAAUGACAUGACCACUGCUAAAACACCAUCUUAGACUUCUUAAUGAAAUGCAAUUAUGCAUGUGGUACCAAUCAGGACCGGAGCCCUCACCGCUUUUGAAUGGUUAAAGCAUUCAUCAGGACCGAAGCCCUCACCGCUGUUGAGCAACUAGUACUCCAGGACCGAAGCCCUCACCGCUGUUUUAUGCAUAUGCAAUGGACCUACUUGUGUAUAUCUACAUACAACUGACCAUGCAAUGCAACUCCAUGUGACUCCAAUUAAUACAACAUGUAUGAUUAAUAAUUAAAACAUACAAUGCAUUCCUCAUCAUCAAUCAACAUCCAACAGAGAUUCAACCAUUCAGAAUGAUGUAUAAUUAAAUAAAAUUAUGCUUAAACAACAACACUUAAACCUUAUCAAUCAAGCAAGCAAAACUGCACUCAAAACUGCACUAGCUCGCCUCGCGAGCACAUCUGCUCGCCAUGGCGAGUUCACAAAACACUAGCUCGCCAUGGCGAGUUCAAGGCGAACUCGAGGCGAGUGAAAAUCAGGUACUCUCGGGAAAAAGUGACAUUUCCUCACUCAAACUCCAAUUCUAAGCUCCCUAUUCAUCUUUCUAACCUAAAACUUCCACCAUUCAUCAUUAAAAUCAUCUAGGUACCUUAAACCAUCCCCAAAACAUCUUAUAACAACUUUUCAAAAAUCAGGUUUUAAUCUGGGCUACUCGCCAUGGCGAGUUGGAUUGCUCGCGAGGCGAGCUAUGAAGUUGCUCACUCGCCAUGGCGAGCACAGCUACUCGCGAGGCGAGCGAUGAACUUCUGUACGGGCAGAAAACUGGUUUUACCCAAAAAUCCCAUUUUUCUUCCAAUCACUCCCCAAAUCAGUUUACAGAUGCAAAUUAACUUUCUGUAUGCACUUAGAACCUAUUUCUAACAUCAAAUUCAUGCUUACAACUUCAAAACUACAAUUUCAUCAUAAAACCCAAAAUCCCCAAUUUCUACCAAAACCUGUUAAACUCAAAAUCAGACUUUAAAUUCUACACCAUUGAAGUAAACCCCACCCUUACCUUAAUUCAGAAUGAAAAAUGCACCGCAAAAAGGGUUCCUCUGGUUCUUCUCUCUUGCUCCUGGUUUUCUCUUCCUUGGCUUGGUUUCACGUAAAACUGUUUCUGACUCCCACUUUCUAUUUUCUUAACUUCCCACUUAAGAGUAACUCCCUCCUAAUUACACUUAACUCCCCCAAAUUCCUAAUAACUCCAAUUAAUUCCCCAAACACCAAAAUAAUUAAUAUUUCAUACUUAUUUUAAUUAUUAUUAAAUAAACCAUAUAAUAAAAUAAUAUACCAUAUAAAUCACCCAAAAUCAUACAUAUAAAUAUAAGCAUAUGCAUAUACUCCACAUAAAUCACCAAACCAUCAUAUAUAAAUAUAUAUAUACUCCACAUAGUUUAAAAUUAAUUAAAUAAAUAAUUAGGGCGUUACAUUAAUGCCCCAUAGUUGAGUUGCUUUUUUGCAUAUAUAAAUACUUCUGCACUUGUAGUUUAAUGACUUAUUAUGCGUUAUUUGAUGGUAUUUUUAAGAAUCAAUCCGCGUCUCUUUACUUUUUUACUUUGUUCUGCACAUAACAAAUUCAAGGACUUAUUUGAUGAUAUUUUUAUAUAAUGUAGGGAUCGAAUUGAAAUAGACAAAUAAUUUAAUGACAAACUUGAUGAAAAUAUUUUGACAGAAAUGUUGCUUUGAUUCAUCUUCAACCUCUUUUCAUAACAACAUUACACACGCCUAGUAUAAUACAGUAACAUGUUAAACUUAAGCUCAUACUUAAUACUUAAUCAACCUAAGCUCAAAUUCUGGGACACCAACAAUCAAGUACUCUCGCAUCACCAUUAAACAUAGAGCUUGAGGAUGAAUACCGACUUUGAUAACUAUUUUUGCUCAUAUGCUUACCACCCAUCAUUUCAGAUUCAACCUGAACACCAAAGUGAGAUUUUUUUUUGAGGAUUUUUGAAUUUCGAAUUCAAUAAAAAAAAAAUAAAGUUUUGGAGUUUUUGGAAUUGGGGAAGAACAUUGUCAUCAAUUAACAGAAGAAAUUUUGGGGAUUUUGAACUCUAGAUGACAAAUUAUAAAUUAGGGUUCUAAUUUUAUAGAUUUGAGGAAGAAAGAGCUAUAGUAUAACAGUCAUUCUUCUGCAAAUUAUGGAAUCCAAUUUUCUGCAAAUCAAUCAAUUUGGUCAUUGGAAAUUUUGUCACUUUCGGCCAAAUUAAUCCUUGCUUGUGUGACAUCUGACAUGACAAGCCUUGUGAGAGGUUAACAGAACACGUCAUCACCGUUAAUAUCCCAACUUAACGGAGAGACUAAUUUGAUUGACAUUUGACAACUUCAGAAACUAAUGUGAUAUUUCGACAAAUUGAAAGACGAAUUUGGAUAUUUACUUGAAACAAAACACAAGGAUUUGUCAAAUUUUACCAACCUUUUGACCUUUAUACUUUCAACCAUUUGAACCGUACUGUCCAUUCCAAAACUACCAACCAAGAGAACCAUACAAUCAUUAUCAAGACUCAACCAUUUAAACAAUAUUCCGCUUGUGUAACUUUGAGUUUUGUGAUUUUGUGACCUCUUAAUCUCUUAUCUAUCUCCUUACUAAUAAUUCUCUGUCACCAAAAUAAUUUAUUAAUCACUAAAAAAAAUCAUACCAUUGUUCUUUGUGUGUGUUAACCUUCCCAUUCUUAGAGGAAAGGUUAAUCCAAAGUAAAGUCAAACAAAAAUUGUUUCAUUCAAAAAUAGAACAGUACCAUCUUUUUCAAGAUUACCAUGAAUGUGUUGGAAAAAAAAACACACACACAAGUGGUUUGUAUUGCGUUGAUUGCGCAUUUAUUUGAACCACAAUUACUCGCACAACUCAUUAGAGAAGAAAUGAAGAAUACACGGUUACAGGAAAAAGUUGUAAUCAAUGCACUCAUGUAAAAAUUCGACGAAGUUUUUAUCAACCACAUUCCUCUUACUCUUAGGCUACCCAUUACGAAGCAAGAACCUUAGAUUCAAAAGUCCUCAGGCCAGGAUACUAUUGACAGACUAUACAAGCAGAUAUCAAAACAAUUUUAUGAUUUUAUAAUAUAUAUCAAAGGUUCCUUCAAAAAAAUAUAUAUAUAUCAAAGGCGUAACAUCAUCCUUAAGUCAUGAGACAAGUUAUAAGACUUACACUAUAUCUCAACCGUUAAACAUAAUAUAUCUAAGGGAUCAUAACAUUCCACCAGUCAAAUUAAAAAAAAUCCUUAGGUAAGGCACCACAUGUGAUUUCGUCUUCUUUCUCUUCAAGAUCCCACGGUGCCCCUGGAGAGUUUGUUUCAUGUUCUUUUUUAUUGAGUUGCAAUGCAAUCAAUAGUCCAACCAAAUAAUGGGUUGAUUGUUGAGCUGAGUGGAAAAGUUCCUACAAAAUGAGUUGCAACAAGGAUCAACAAGGUGCUCACAAAAUUACACCACGAUUGUUUAACUAUGUUUUUGAAAAUUGAAGGUUUGACAAAUUUAUAGAAAUUACAGAAACCUAAAUCAUGAAAAGAAAGGGAAAACAAAAAAUAAAGAUCUCAUGUAAGAAAGUCUUGUGAUCUUCUCAAUUUAUUAAUCUUGUUUUCUGAAGUCUCUAAUACCACAUUACCAUACUUUUUGACCACACCACAAGUUAACGUUGGCAAAGAUGGAAGAAAAUUGGGACAUUGCGAUGGUGGUUGGUGCUGUAGGUUUACAUGCAUCAAUAACAAAAGUCCUAUAGCACACCACGUUAACAUACUUAUUGAUUAAAUCUAACAAAACAACAUCCAAAUAAUUACAAUCCACCGAGUUGAAACCCUUUUCAAAAUCAACUUUGAAUAUAAUUAAUUCCUUUUUCAACUUGCGGGUUUCAUCCACUAACUCAUUACCCAUUAAAAUACCAUUGGUAAUUUGGCAACCAUGAACAAAGGUUGAUUGCUCCUCAAAAAUUACAAUUUCUAUUACCGUUCGUAAUUGAUUAACGAAGACUUUAGCCAACACUUUAUACAAACAUUCAUAAGGGAUACAAGGGUGAUAGUCUUUGAGGGCUAUCCCCCAUAGGAACAAAGGAGAUAAAAAUGUUGGUGAUACCUUUCACCAACUUAUCAUUUCAAUGAAACUUUUAAAUGAAGCGCAUAAAAUUGAUUUCAAAAUCUUCCCUAAACUCUUUGAUAAAACAAAAAUUAACACCAUCGGAGCUGAAUUUUUGUAAUUAUCGCAAUGCCAAAUGACUUGUUUCGCCUCCUCAAGAUUGAAAGGUUUUAAAAGAUAAACUCCUUGCACCAAACUCAAAGAUUUGAAAGUAAAAUUUUCUACCACUUUAUGACCAUUACCAUUUAUAGAGUGAAUAGCAUUAGACCGACGUCUAGAAGAUGAAACUCCAUGAAAUAAUUUGUUAUUAGCAUCCCCCUCUCCAAAUCAGCAUAUUCUUGAUUUCUCUCAAUGCAUGCUAGAAUUUAUUCUUGCCAAAGAGUGUAAAUUUUGUAGAUAAAUAAUGAAGCUCCUCUUAUGCGCUAAAUUCAUCUUUUAAAUCCAGAGAUGAAAUGCGUUCUUUUUUUUUGACGGAGAUGAAAUGCGUUCUUAAACAUAAAGAAUUAUGGUUUUCAAAUUUCGAGUAUGAUGUUAAUGUCAGGAUUUUAGUCUGCCUUUAAUCAACUUAAAUUUUUCUUUUAACACAAAACCUCCGCACGUAUCAUAACUUAUAAUACUUACUUAAAUAUUUUUUUUUGAAAUCUUUUUAAAAAUAUUUACUCAUAGUCGAACUCGUUGAUCCGACUUAUAUUCAAUCAUAGUCGAGUCGGGUUGCUUUGGAUUUGACAUAAAAAAAAAAAUUAUCAUUUCAUUUUUAGACAUCAUUUGUUUUUUAAAAAAAAAUGAUAUUCGUCUAUUCAAAUUGAUGAAAUCAUAUUCAUUACAACUCCCAAUGUAACUUUUGAACUAUCAAUUUUAUUCACUUUAGCCAUGGAUUUUUAUUUAUUGUGUUAAUCCUCUAGUUCUAAGGAAAAAAGAUCCUUGAUAAUUAGAAUAAAAUUUGAUCAAGAAUUGUUUCACCAGGAAUCAAACUCAGGCUCUCCUUAACAAUUUAUCUUUUGAUUGAGCUUAUUAACCACUUGAAUCAAAUUGCUUGAGUUUUAUUAUAGAUGCCUUCUUCCACGUUUUAUUACUUUAAAAAAAAUCAUAUUCUAAAUUUUGCUUGAUUUUACUCAGAUUUAGUUCUACAUGCUAACAUAAUUUUAGUAUACUAAUAUUUUUGUUGUAUAUUUGAAUUUUUGCCUCGCCAAAUUAAAUAUAACAUGCAUAAUUUUAGGUGUAUAUUUUUGUUGUGUAUUUUUUUUAAGUGUGAACUAAAAAGUGUAUAUUUUUAAAAAUAUAUAAAAGUUUUAAUUGAUCUGGUCGGCCCGAAAAAACUCGUAUCCCUCAAAGGGCUGAGAUUAAUUAAACAUUUUUUAGCCCGUUUAUCAUCCGAACCUUUUUGGUCGAACUUGAAAAGUCUGAACUUGACAUGGAUUUUGGUCCGAAUAGUCGGUUAACAUAUUUUGACGGCGCUAGAAUUCAUAGAUCACAUCUCGCCAAUGAGGUGUCUGCACUUAAGUUAAGGCGGUUGUAUUUUUUACUGAAUUUUUUGUUUAUUCAUACCAAUUGUAUCAAAAUUCUUAUUAUAUUUUUUUACCUAAUUUCGUUUAUUCAUACCAAUUGUAUUGAAAAAAUUAUCAUUAAUGAAAUGAAUUAAGUUUGUUGCUUAAAAAAACAUUUUCUAUCAAAAAAAUAGGUAUAAAUUGGCUGAGUGAGAAUGGAUAAUUAAAAAAUAAGUUUAUUGAGAAAAAAAUAAUAUAUACUUGCCAAAAAUAAAAAAUUAGUGAGAAAAAAUAUCUAAAGGAAUAUUCCAAGCAUGGGCCAACGGCGCACAAAAAACAAUGUCGGUGGACUCCACACAUCAGACUCAAUCAGUAUAUGAUUCCACGUAGCCCUAGUUUUAACCCAAUCCAUAACCCUAGUUAACAAUUCCUCUCCUAUAUAAACACCCCUCUGCGUUCACUGUGAAAAUAUCUUCCUUCAUCUUUUCCCCUAAUUCCUUCUCUGUCCCCAAUUCGAUUCGAUGGGUUCUUCUGAUGUUGAGUACCGUUGCUUCGUCGGAGGUCUUGCAUGGGCCACCGAUAGCCAAGCUCUCGAGCAAGCUUUCUCUAAGUUUGGUGAAAUCACUGAUUCCAAGGUCCGUGCGGAUUCUGAUUCGGAUUCGGAUUUCGAUUCUGAUCUGUGAUCUGUUCUGUUACUCUGUUACUUGAUCUGUUUGUUACUACUGAUUCUGUUACUGUGAUUGUGAUUCUGUUACUAUAUCAUUUGAUUCGAUUCUUUUGUUACUCAUACCAAUAGGUACGUUCAUCUUCAUCUUUUAACAAAAGGAGAAGAUCGAUCGGUUACUAUUCGGUUUUUUUGAUUUAUGAAUCUGUUUUGAUUGUUGAAUGUUGAUUUGUCAUGGAUCUGAAUUUUUGUUGUUUUUGUUUUGUUUAGGUGAUUAACGAUCGUGAAACUGGACGAUCAAGAGGUUUUGGUUUUGUGACAUUCGCUGAGGAGAAAUCGAUGAGAGAUGCAAUUGAGGAGAUGAACGGUCAGGAUAUUGACGGCAGGAAUAUUACUGUGAAUGAAGCUCAGUCCCGUGGUAGUGGUGGAGGAGGUAGAGGUGGUGGCGGCGGUGGUUAUGGUGGCGGCGGUGGUUAUGGAGGAGGCGGUGGUGGAUAUGGAGGAGGCGGUGGUCGUCGUGAUGGUGGAUACAGCAGAAGCGGUGGUGGUGGAGGCUAUGGGGGAGGAGGCGAUCGUGGAUAUGGUGGUGGAGGUGGUGGUGGUUAUGGUGGAGGUAGGGACCGUGGAUAUGGAGGUGGAGGUGGUGACCGUGGUUAUGGUGGUGGAGGUGGCGGUGAUCGCUACUCUCGUGGUGGUGGUGCUGAUAGCGGUGGAAACUGGAGGGAUUAGAAAAUUAGGUCUUCAGUUUGGUGGUUUAUGAUUAUGAAUGUUGUCAUGUUGAAUUAGUUUGAUUUAGUUGGUUGAAUUUAGUGUUUUGGCUAUGAUAUUUGUUCUGUUAU
rnacentral:lncRNA from 1 species